AUGUCGUGAGUCAAAAGAUAGAAACAGAGAGGAGAAUAGAAGAAAAGAAGGAAAGGAAGAAGAGGGGAAGAAAGAGAAGAAGGAAAAGAGAGAGAAGGUUCAGCAACUCACUAUUUCUGCUGCUCUUGCGGCUGUGGCUGCUGCUACUAUCAUGCAUGCAUGCACUCAUGUGCUGUCCACAGUAAGAAGCUGCUACCAAGGUGCUGCUUCAUCUGAGAAAUGAAGUUCAGAACUGCAAGCUGAUGAUAAAGCUACCUACGCACCUCAAGAACACAAGGAAGGAACCUGAAAAUGUGCUCGGCGAGGAUACGCAAGCUUUAGAAUUUAGUGAAGAGCACCAAAUUUGGGGAAAUUCAGAUGAUGGAGCUGGAGCAGUAGUGAAGAAUUGGUGACAUGUUCAAAUACGGAGACAUAUUUGUGGAACACUUGUGGAGGAGGCUCUUGUUGUACAGCAUGUAUUGUAAUUUAAUCGAAUGUAAGAUUUACGCUAUAUUUAUUAUUCCUGUGGAAUUAGUCUUAUAGGCCUGUACUACUAUACAUGUAUCAUUCAUAGGAGGUCACCACAUGUAACUUAUGAUUUUUAUGAAUUUUGUAUGUAAGCUCUGAUUUAAGUGUAGAGUAAAAAUUAGGUUUGGUUACUACCCGCAUCCGGGAUCCUGGGUAUUGUCAGGAUGACUGGAAUGGGUAUUCUAGUGCCGCAUACCUUGGCCUGAAAUGAGGCAGGAUGUGACAUAUAUAUGCAUUGAUGUUGGAUAUUGUAGAUGUUUUGAACAUUAGAUGCAAAUAUUCAUGUAAUAAUUCAUUAAUUUAUAUGAGUAUACUACCAUUUUUUUGGUCACUCGUA